GAUCCUGGCUCAGGAUGAACGCUAGCUACAGGCUUAACACAUGCAAGUCGAGGGGCAGCAUGGUCUUAGCUUGCUAAGGCCGAUGGCGACCGGCGCACGGGUGAGUAACACGUAUCCAACCUGCCGUCUACUCUUGGACAGCCUUCUGAAAGGAAGAUUAAUACAAGAUGGCAUCAUGAGUUCACAUGUUCACAUGAUUAAAGGUAUUCCGGUAAGA
rnacentral:rRNA from 1 species